GAGAAGGCUCUAUUGGUCAGUCAUGUAUCUUCCUUUUCCUAUAUUGAUGUUGAGGAUGAGGUUGGGACUCCGUUCCAAGCCUUGUCUAUUGCUGAGCCUUCAAGGAAAUGACUUUCUUCAUUUGUCUCCUACAACGAUGCGAAGUUGGCCAUUGAGCAUGGUGCAACUACUGGUUUAGGGAAAAUGAUCAAGUUGGAGGAUGAUAACAUGAAAUAAUAUCACAUUUUUGGACUCGAUUUAAUUAUAUUAUAUUAUUAUUUGAUUCAAUUUAUUUUAUAUUAUUCGAUAUUACUUGGUAUUUUCCUUCUAUUUAUUUCAGGUAACAUUAUUUGAAGCAUAUGUGAAAAAGAAAGAAAAGGGGGUGCAAAAAGAGGAUUCUCUAGAAAAAGCAUUCCACUAAAG
rnacentral:lncRNA from 1 species